rnacentral:misc_RNA from 1 species
UGUGGGUAAGUUAACCCGUGGAGCGCUGAGCGCUCUGCUCGCGGUGUGUAGAAAUGAUUCGAAACAGAUUUAAGAUGGAAAACGACUAAGUCCAACUAUUUAUUCAGAUAAUUGUCAAAGUACUUUUUAUAAGAGCGAACUGGAGCGUAUGAAAUACAAAAUUAGUCUGAUCGUUCUGCGCUUGGCGGAGGAGAUCUUCGGGUGAUGCAGAUCGAUGCCCUUUCCUCGCUGGAUCCUGGAUCCUCCCUCAGGAUCAUCCCUUGUCCAAUGGUGGAGGAGUCCACCCCCGUCCGAUGUGGGCCCCUUCUCCUGGCUGUGGUCCACCCUCAGCCGCGUGGUGGUGGAGGCUCCGCCAAGACGCGGGAACGUAACAUUGAACAUGUGCUUAGAGAAAGCGUGGGACCCAGAGAAACGCGAAAACAAAGUCCUUGUACUGGGCGAAAAUUUACGACCCUCUUCGAGUGCAUGAAAAGACAUUCGUAGGAGAACUCGAAGCUUUCCAGAACCGAACGCGACUUAGUCAAAAACAACGAAUUCGAUACGGUCCCUAAUAAAUUAAUCUCUACAAACAUUCAAAGUGAAGCUACGUUUAUUCUCUGGAUUCCCAAACUUUCCCAAGCAUGAACACCCACGUCGAGUGGCUUUAACAAUAUAAGCUUUGUCUAUUGUACAUGAUCGCACGCUCAGAUAGUUUAAAUUUCGCUCUUAAUUUAUGGUCAUCGAUAUAACAAAGUACAGAUGCGCUCUGUAAAUAUUCUCACGGUCGUGUCGCCAUACUACACUGACUAUAUUCAGGAUGAUAACAAGUACUUACGCUCGCGUUACACCUCCCCCCUUAUUUAAAAAGGUGUUUUCAUAAAACAACUUUUCUAUAUCCAUACGCCUUAAUAGUAGUUGCAUAUACAAUAUUAACAUUAUGUGGUGCUUUUCUCAUACAAGGUUCAUACAAAAGUUAAAUCAUCAAACUUCCGAUUUAUUUUGUAAGGACCAAGCCAAUCACAGUCAAAUUUUGAGAUUUUGUGCAGCGAUGGUCUGUGUGGUGGUGAUUCUGGCGAGAAGAUCAUCAAAAUAUUGUACGAAUGUUCGAGAUGCUGGUCUCGUGGCAAAUUCCGAGGGUAUGUUGGCCUUGGUGCCAAAGACUAAUUCGUGUGGAGAGAACCCAGUGGCUUCAUGCACUGAGGUGUUAUACGAAAAGAUGCAGAACCUCACCCAGUCAUCCCAGUCUGUUUUCGUGCAAUAUAUCUUUAGAUUUUACAGAAGUGUUUCAUUAUACGACUAACGAAGUUUCUUCCCUGAUCUGUGUGUAUUACUCUUGGGCAACCAAAUCUACUGAUAAAUUGCUCAGCAAGUGCAAGGGCAAUCGUUACUGCAUCCAUGGAUUUUAUGGGAAUUGCAUCUGAAUAUUUCGUAAGGUUGUCCUGUAUAGUAAGCAGAUAUUGAUUUCCUUUGGAAGUUCUGGGUUGAACAGGAUCGGACAAAUUCCAUGAUUUCUUUUGCCAUGCCUAGCCAAUAAAAUCGUUGCCGGAGGAGCUGGAGUAAUUUAAAGAUACC